rnacentral:rRNA from 1 species
UACGGGGGGGGCAAGCGUUGUUCGGAAUUACUGGGCGUAAAGGGUUCGUAGGUGGCCAACUAAGUCAGACGUGAAAUCCCUCAGCUUAACUGGGGAACUGCGUCUGAUACUGGUUGGCUUGAGUGCAGGAGAGGAAUGCGGAAUUCCAGGUGUAGCGGUGAAAUGCGUAGAUAUCGGGAGGAACACCUGUGGCGAAAGCGGCGCACUGGACCACAACUGACGCUGAGGCGCGAAAGCUAGGGGAGCAAACAGG